AGUCAUCAUGAGGACCCAGUUUAACCAUCUGCAUAUGAGACAGGAGCAGCCAGCACCAUGGAACAAGAUAUAAGAAAACUCUGAAAAAUGAAGAAAAGAAGGGAAACUGGCUGGGGACUUCAGAACCUAAGGAACAACAUGGGGAAUUGUUUGAGCUCCUUAUAUAUUCUGGCUAUGAAUCCCUCAUCAGAUGGG